UACGUAGGGUGCGAGCGUUAAUCGGAAUUACUGGGCGUAAAGCGUGCGCAGGCGGUUCGUUAAGUCUGAUGUGAAAGCCCCGGGCUCAACCUGGGAAUGGCAUUGGAUACUGGCGGGCUGGAGUGUGGCAGAGGGGGGUGGAAUUCCGCGUGUAGCAGUGAAAUGCGUAGAGAUCAGGAGGAACAUCCGUGGCGAAGGCGACUGCCUGGGCCAACACUGACACUGAGGCACGAAAGCGUGGGGAGCAAAC
rnacentral:rRNA from 1 species